GUAUUGUGUGCAGAAAUAUGAGAUGUACUAUAUUUAAGUGGGAAACAUAUGGUGAUGAGGUUGUACAACCAAUAAAUCUGCUUGUAUUAUCUACCUGCUCAGGAAUCGUUUUAUAUUCUAGCUUUUAGAGAAUCUGAACCAGCAGUCAUAAAUGAAAACAAGCUCAUUUGAUACCUUUCCAUGGCUCAGGACUACUGGUACUUGGUACACAUCCUGCUGGAAAAUAUUAAUUACUAGAAUAAUUAGUGUUAAAAAUUGCAAAUACUGAUUGCUUUUUGUUUCUACAUUCAGGAAAAAAUAGAGAAAAAUUGAGGUGGUGAAUGACUUAUUCUAAUGCAGCGAAAAUUAGGUGCCAAGCAGUCAAAUAUGUCAAGAAAUCUUUACAAAAUAAUGGAAGUGCUCUUUGAAUCAGAACGAUGUGUAGCUCCUGCAGCAAUCCAUGUUCAUUUUUUUAAAAA